CUUUGAUAGCUUCUUCCCUCUGAACAGCCCAAGCUACUUGUCAAAUUUCAAAAGGAUUCGAUAUGCAAAAGGGAAAAUGGAGAGUACCAUGCGAUAAUUAGGUGUUCCCAUAUUUGUCAACUUGGAUAAGCAUAGUCCAGAAGUUCAGGUGAGUUUUUAAUGUUGUACAAUUUAUGAAGAGAGGGUCCCUCUUAAAUGAGAGGGUCCUCAUAAGGAGAGCUCACUAAGCUUUCAGGUAAGACUCUACUGAAGCUAUUGAAAUUGACCUGAUUGUUAUAUAUGCAAAUUUCUGAAGAUUAAACACAGG
rnacentral:lncRNA from 1 species